GGCGGACACAACUCGACCCGCAACACACAGUUGCAGAGAACCAGUGGGUGAGGGCAGAAUGUGAGAUGAAAGCAGUGAGUAGAGAUGACUUUUGAAGAUUUUGGUUACUAAGAAGACCAUAACAAUGGAAUGGUUGUUGGUGUGGGGCAAUCAUCUCCAUUGACAUCUCUACCACCAUCCUCUGGAAUCUGCAUGGAGGCUCAAAAUUCCUGCACCAACAGCCAGUGUUGACUUCCUC
rnacentral:lncRNA from 1 species